rnacentral:rRNA from 1 species
UACGAAGGGGGCUAGCGUUGCUCGGAAUCACUGGGCGUAAAGCGCACGUAGGCGGCUUUCUAAGUCAGGGGUGAAAUCCUGGAGCUCAACUCCAGAACUGCCUUUGAUACUGGAGAGCUUGAGUUCGGGAGAGGUGAGUGGAACUGCGAGUGUAGAGGUGAAAUUCGUAGAUAUUCGCAAGAACACCAGUGGCGAAGGCGGCUCACUGGCCCGAUACUGACGCUGAGGCACGAAAGCGUGGGGAGCAAACAGG